AGUGAACGCUGGCGGCAGGCUCAACACAUGCACGUCGAGCGAGCGGCGGACGGGUGAGUAAGGGCUGGGAAUCAGCCUCAUGGAGGGAGAAAACUAGUGGAAAAGGGAGCUAAGACCGCAUCCCACCAGAUUUGCCCAGAUGGGAGUAGCGAGUAUGUGGGGGAAUUGCUCAAUUAGGCGACGAUCCCUAGCUGUUCUGAGAGGAUGACCAUCCACAUUGGCACUGGGACACGAUCUGGACUCCUACGAGAGGCAGCGGUGGGGACUCUUGCUCAACGGGCGCAAGCCUUAUGCAGCCAUGCCGCGUGUGUGGAGAAGGCCUUCGGGUUGUAAACCCCUUUCAGCGCGGAGGCGUCACUCGCUGCAGCAGCACCGGCUAACUCCGUGCCAGCAGCCGCGGUAAUAC
rnacentral:rRNA from 1 species